GGAUGUGUGGUUCAAUUGGUAGAACAACUGCCUUCCAGACUCAAAGCUCUGAGUUCAAAUCUCAGGACCACCA
rnacentral:tRNA from 1 species